rnacentral:rRNA from 1 species
UACGUAGGGGGCAAGUGUUGUCCGGAUUUAUUGGGCGUAAAGAGCGUGUAGGCGGCCAGACAGGUCAGCUGUGAAAACUCGAGGCUCAACCUCGAGACGUCGGUUGAAACCGUCUGGCUAGAGUCCGGAAGAGGAGAGUGGAAUUCCCGGUGUAGCGGUGAAAUGCGCAGAUAUCGGGAAGAACACCCGUGGCGAAGGCGGCUCUCUGGGACGGUACUGACGCUGAGACGCGAAAGCGUGGGGAGCGAACAGG